ACUGAGUAAUAAAAGCUCAGAACUUUAACAUUCAUACCAAUAAUUAAACCAUCCAUAAACCAGCAUAACAAGGUUCACAACUUUAACAUUUAUACUAAUCAAUCCAUACGUUUAAACCCCCCCAUAAAACAGUCAAACCUAGCAACCCCCAUUGCUCAGAAAGAUGUAGAUUCGACAGAUAAGCACAGACCCAUGAUAGAACAAGAGAAACUACGAUCUGGGUUGGAAUCAGAAAGGACUAAAACUAAAACUCACUGGUUUUGACUUUUGAGAGGUUGAGCCGUUGAGGAAACGUCGGUCGCCGGUGGUCGGUCUAAGGAGAGUGGAGACUGGAGAGUGGAGAGGAGAGGCGAGGGGGCAAGAGGGGACAGGGGGUGAGCCGGUGAGGGGAAGGGGGGGCGUUUAGCCGUGAGAGUGAGAAAGAGAAUCAAAAGAUUGAGAAAGUUUAAUGUUCACUGUUUAGGGUUAGAUUUAGCAGAGAGAACUCAAAGAAGAGAGCUAGAGAGGGGCGCAGCGUGGAACAAAAUUUUCUAUUUAUAUCAGGGCGGAGUACAAACCCCUUUUUUUUUAAACUGGUCCGGUCCGGUUACCCGGUUUUUGCACUGCAAAACCGAAAACCGAACCGAAUCGGGAAUUUUUCUAUAUAAUCUAAUCGGUUUACUCGGUUUUUCGGUUUUUUUGCACACCCCUAGAAACAAUGGCUUUUUUUAGAUCAGGCACAUGAAUCGAUGGAGGAAAGAGAAAAUAUAAAAGAAAAUGAAGAAAAAUGGCUGUUAAAGCCAUGCCAUUACCGAGACGUCAGCACACAUCAUGUAAUUCUUGUUUAUUUUUUAUUUUUAAAAAAAAUUAAAAAAAAAUUAUUUGUUUUGAAAAAAAUUAAAAUAUAUUUUUUAAAAAAAAUUAAUAUUUUUUUGGUGUUUUUAAAUCAUUUUGAUAUGAUGAUAUCAAAAAUAAUUUUUAAAAAAUAAAAAAAAAAUAUUAUUUUAAUAUAUUUUUAAGUAAGAAGCAUUUUAAAAAAUAACUACAACCACACUCGAGCCUCGAUCAAGAUGAUUUCAACACAUUAACAAAAGCUAUCUCUGGAUGUUAGAGGAAGCCACACAUGCUGCUUAAUUGUGAUGGGCUUCCUCGUGUAUUAUCACUUACAUUGCAUGUAUCAAUUAUUUUUGUUAAUUUAAUCUUGAUUAAAUAGUUUUUUUUGUUUUUUUAUUCUUUAAUAACUCUUAUUUUUUUCAUUUGAAGCAAGAAAUAUAUGAAAAUAAAUAAAAAUAAAACUUUGAUUAUGAUUUCACCAGUAGCAAAUAAAUUCAUAAAAAAUAUAGAUAUUUUUUAAUAUGCAAAAUAAAUCAAAUGAAAAACUAAUGAAAAUAACUUUAAUAAUACCCAUAUAUCUCAAAUAUAAUUUGUGUACUGAUUAGGUCAAUUUCAAAAGUAGAAAAACACAUUUGAAAAGAUGAUGCAAAUUAUAUGCUUUUAUACAAACUAAUACUUGAAUUUAUAACACAACCCAAACAAAGUCCAAAUAACUCUAAAUCUAGUAUUUGAUGUUGUUGUACCUAGAAACCCCAAAAUAUCAAUUUUGAAGCGAUUCAAUAUCUUUUGAAUUAGUAUUUUCAUGACAAAACUAAAUCUUUUGUAUUUUAACAUAUUUCUUCUUUCUUUAUUUUAUAUUUUACCUUUAAUGUGAAACUAGACAAUAAUGUAAGAAGAGAAAACAAAAUUAACAGAAUAAAACUUUAACCAAAUCAGGCACAAAAACAAGACAUAAAGAAAAAAACAAAAAAAAAAUAUUCAAGGAAACGGAUUUAAACAACAAAAACAAAGAGGAUAUAAUCUAAUUUCAUGAGUUUAACUCUAAUACCAACUGAUACGAGCUCUAAUAAUAGAAAUCUCAAAAUCCAUAACAAAGUAGAUAAAUAACCCAAAAAAACUGAAAUUCAAGUUUAGAUAGAAAUCUUGACUCAAUGAAUAACAUUGGAUCUAAAAACCAAAAAUACUAGAAAAAAACUUGGACAUGCUAUUUAUAGUGAAACAAAAAGUCAAAAUAUACGAGGAGGAUAUCAUGAGAUCAGUUAUAUUUUUAUUUCAAUAAACGUGAUUUUACACCAAACAAAAAUGCGAAUUAUUCUGCCGAAAUUUGACAGCCAUGCAAAACAUGAAAGAUAUAUUUAUUGAACCUGCGUUUGCCGAAAUUUUAAUUUUAAUUUUUUUUGCUAAAAUUGAGUUUAGUUUGUACUUUUUAGAUCGUUUUGAUGUGCUGAUGUUAAAAAUAAUUUUUAAAAAAUAAAAAAACAUCAUUGGCAUGUAUUUCGACGCGAAAAACUAUUUAAAAAGCAACCGCUAACACACUCUUAGUAGUCGUUAAUAUGCUUCUUAUUUGAUUUUAAGAGGGUUGGUUUGGAAAAACAAUUUCUUGUCUUUGUUGAUAUAUGUUUCGAAGAUAGUGUUCAAUGAAUUGGAAUGCAGCAAUUUGGGCGUUAAUUUUUCAGCUAAAUAACAUGUUUAUUUUGUUUUUGAUCCCUUAAAACAAGAUGACCAAUCAGAGCAGUGCCCCUGCAGUUUUGGAAAACAUUGACGAGGAAGAAGUGCUCUAAGCAUGUUCUAACGAAGUUGGUUUGCGAUAGCUCCCCCGAAGUUAUGCCAUCCAUCUUCUUCUCCACAGACACAGAACGAGACUGAAAAAUUUUAGUGACCAAGAAAAUUUCAUGCAACGUUUGUUUACAGUGAAGCAUCAACAUGGCCAAAAAAUACAGUACAACGUUGAGUUUCGAAAGGGACCUCAAAAGACUAACACUACAAACAUCUCAGUGCCAUAUUCAGACUGAAAUCUCCUAUUCUCGAUGUGAAAGGAGGAAAAUGCAUCAAUGGUCUGACAGUAACCUCCAAGGUUAUCCAAGUUGAGAUAAUUUGAUAUAUUUCAACAAUUCCAUAUAAGUUGACCCCAAUAAGCAGGAAACUGAGGAACAGAUGACGUGCUACAUUGGUGAGUCUUUCAAUAACUCUGUCGAGUGGUAGAGAAUCAGGGAGGAAAAUGCUCAACAUCCAUUGAAGGAAAACUAGAUUCUGAUCUCAUUCCACGAAGCAUAUUCUUUGCCAUUUCCUUCUCCUGCAACCAUGAGCGGAAAGACCAAAAAGAAACUUACUUAAUCCACAUGUUUGUACUUUUUACAUUAGAAGAUCUCUUAAUUGAAGAUUACAAAAGAAAAGGUAUCAGAAAACGUACCGGGCCAGUGUAAUCCAGAAGACGGGUGCAGUACACCUCUGCUUCUUCUAAUCUCUUAUGAGUUCUGCAGUGCUGGGCAAGAAAGAGCAAGGCUUCAACCAUGUUUGGUCCUUCCCUCUCUUCAUCUUCCAUCCUCUCCAAGUCCUUUUUGUAGUAAAAUGCUGCCUCUUCUGGACGCCCAAGCUCACAGUGCAGUUUUGCUAACUGAUGCAGGGCUAUUGCUUCCUUGUCAUUACAGUUUGCAGCCCUUCUGUAACAUUUGAUUGCAUCCUCAAGCAAGUGAAGCUGAUCAGUUUCAUAGCACUGGGCCAUGGCAAUCCACAAUCGAGAAUCACUUGGCUGCAAGAACACCGACUUCUUAAAAUAGUGUAGUGCAUAGAAGGGCAUCAUCAUCAUCUCAUAAGCCUGUCCUAACCCAUACCAAGCUCGAUAAUCACAAGGAUUGAUAUCCACAGCUCGUCGAUAAGCAUCAACAGCAGCAGGAGUGUUUUUCAUUUCAACAUACUCAUGACCCAUAAGUGUCCAAGCAGACAAAUAUUUUUUGUCCAGCUUGAGUGCCCUCCUAAAAUACAUAACAGACUUCUCAUGCUGGCCCUUUAAACUGUAAUAAUUUCCAAUGAUGCAGCAAGAUUCAGGCCUGUAUUUAUCAGUCAUAAAUACCCUGUGGGCAAGGUAACUAAGAGCAGAGAAACACUCCUUUGCAUAGAGGACAUUAGAAUACAUAUCCAUGUCUUCCACUCGAUAGGGGUCAUUUCUCAAAAGUUCUUCAAAUAUUACCUCGACUUGGUCAAAUUCCCUCAAACAAUAUUGAGCUUUGGCAAUCUGAGCCUGUAUGUAAUUACUAAAACUGAAUGUACCUUGAAGAUAUUCAUAUUUGGCAAGGGAUUCAUUGUGCAUCCGGAGCUCUUGGUAAGCACUGGCAAGAAAGAAGUCCUUCAUCCAAUGGUUGCUUAGGUUAAGGCUGUUCAGCAUCUCAAUUGUGGUACAUAAAGACUGCAGCUCUGUCCAGGCAUUCCAGUUCCAAGGGUAGCUAUUCACAGACUCCACAAGGACUGUCCGAGCAAGAUUUUGAUUGCCUCUGUUUUUAAGCACAAGACCAUAUAAGUAUAACCCAAAGGGAUCAAUUGUGCCAUUCUUGCGAAGAGUUGACAACUCCCUCUCCAGAGAAACCAGCUCACGGUUAACAGCAUCACUCUUACCAAGGGGCCCCUCAAGUUCUAUCAUCUCUUCUUCUUUCCUCUUUUCUCCAGCCUUCAAAACCAACAAUGAAGGUGAAAAACAGACCCUUAAAUUCUAUAGAACUUUAUAGGAUGAAAUAUACUAGACAACAGUUUGACAUCAUGUGAAUUAUAAUACUGGAUAAAUGCCCAACAAACAUGCAUGAACUCUUUCAAGAACUCCAGGCACCGUUGAUGGGACUCUCAAGCUAAAUACAAGUCUAAAUCUCCAUCUUUAGAGGAGUUUACAGCUACUUGCAACCUCUGAGACAGACAAAAGGGUUAACUUUGAUUCAAAGCCAUCCAUGUUGAAGACUUCCUUUUUCAUCUUCUUUUAAAAUAGAGUUGAUGUGGAAUAUCGGUGGUCAUGAUAGAAGUUCAUCACAUUUCUGCAUCAGUUCACUUGUUUAAUAUUUUCUAAAUUAAACAAUUAGAAUAUCGAAAGAGAGAAAAAAAAAAAAAAAAAGACAUAAAAUCCUGUUUCAAAAUCAAAGCAAGAAAACUUCACAAAAAGAAAAAAACCAGCUAAAACCCGUAAGAUACAAAAAUCAAGGACUUGAAUACAAAUCCACGUCAAAAUUGUUUUCCCUCAGCAGCUGGGGCUUUUUUCACCACCAAGUCCAACACUUAUCUUAAACUCAGUACUUUGUUGAGAAAAAACAUAAAUAGUCCGAAUUAGUCACUGAAAACAUCACAUCAUACUCUCUCCACCAAAAUCACACAGGAAAUUCUCAAAACACUUAGCUGUAUAACAAUUAAGGUAUAGAAUAAUUCUAUAAAGUGAAAUAGACACGUAAGAAUGAAGUAGAACAUAGUUCCUAAAAAUCAUGUCUUAAUCAUAAUUGCAACAAAAAAAGAAUAAGGAAAAAAUGAGAUAUGAACGCACCAGAUAAAGAGCAUAACAGCGCAAGAAAACUGAUUUCUUUGCAUUUUGAUCGCGAAGCACAUGAGCAGCCCUUUUAUACUCUCGACAGUCAAAGUAGGACUUAGCCAGAAGGUAGAAGUCACCAUCUAUGACCUCAUCUUCCUCCAAUACAGGAGUGGACACAUAAGACAUGCCAGUAACAGGCGUCGAGGCAAUGUCAUUGGUUCGGAAUCUUCGACGAAUGCUAGAACUUCCACGCUGGAAUCUGGUGUUUGUAGGAGUGAACUUUGCAGGGUCUUGCUCGAUUCCUACCAGCUGCUCCCCUGCCCUAGAAUAAAAACACGGGCAGACAUAAAUACAAAGCCAAAUCGGAAACAACAACAACAACAACAUAAAAGCAAAAUGGAAAAGGGGUUUUCUUUUUGUUUUUGUAUAAUUAGGGUUUUGGAGAGGAGAAAAGUAGAGGUUACCAUUUGGAAGCAGAGUAAAGGCAGCGAUCGCUUAGUUGGCGAAGGGCAAUGCGAAGCUCGCUCCGGCAAGUCUCUUUCGAGUUCAUCGAUCUCUGAUCUAUUUUUGAACUAAAAAUGACUUCCCAUAUCGCUGAUGCUGGUUUCAAAUUGAGAGGUUUUUGGAGGUUUUAUUUUUUUAUUUUUUAUUUUAUUUUUAAGGAGACUCAACUCCAUAGAUGAUGAUUGGGUCAGUUCUUUCAAGGCCUCCUAGUAAUAAACAUUAUAUUGUUGUAGGAGACAACAAUCAUGUCCGCCCACAACAAUCAUGUCCGCCCAGCCCAUUAUGUGACUAAUUUGAUUUUUUUUUUAUAUUUUGAAACUAGAAUCAAUACUUGUGGCCCGUUUUCCAGGAAAUUAGUUUUUUUAAUUAAAUUUUAUAAAAAAUAAAUUUAUGAAAAUUAGAUUCUUUGAAAAUAUUAUAAAAAAUAAAUUGAAAAUAUUUUUUAUUGUUUGGAUAUAUCAUGAAAAAUAAAUUUAAAAAUCACUUUUUAAUAUUUUUUAAAAGUUAUCUAAAAAACGAUGACUAAAUAUGACAGAUAAAAAAAUUGAAGGAUAAUGAGUUUGAGAAAAAAAUUAUUUUAUAAAUUAUUUCAAAUAAAAUAAAUAAUAAUUAAAAAAACAGGGAUGAAAUUUGAAGGAAAAAUAAAUUAAAGAGCUGUUUGGAAAACUUAAAAGGUCAAACAUGAAAAUCUUGGAGUAGAGAAAAAAAAAAAAAUUGUCAUUGCCAAAUUAAAAAUCAGUUACAUCACACGUUAUCUAGGGAAGGAGGGAGGGGCUACCAAGAAGAUUCUAAGCACAUCAAGGAAGGUGGUCUUCAAACACUAUAAGCGGACUCACAUGCCGCUUAAAUACAAUGGCACAUUUAACACACUGGCGCAUCCAAUGCACAUGUCAACUAUUUUUUAUUUUUAUAUUAUAUUUUAUAUUUAUCAAAAUACCAAAUUGUCCCCUAAUCAACUUUAUUAUUACAAAAAAAUAUAAAAAUACAAAAAAAAAAAACAUAAACCCUGGUUUAAUAAAUUUUGAUUUUAAAAAUAAUUUAAUCAUUUCACUUUUUCUUUUUUUUUGUUAAAGAUCCAAAAAGUGUUUUUUAGAGUUGAGAAAAAGAUAAAUUUUUUUUUGGAAAGGCUUAAGGUUUUUUCUUUAACUAUAAAUCAUUUUUUAUUGAUCAACUUUUUAAAACUUAAAUAACAUGAGAAAAUUUAGAAAGUAAUUCGGAAAAAGUUUGGAAAGUUAACCAUCUUUUAUUUUCCUUAUUUUCAAUGUGUCAUUUCUUAGUAUUCACUAGUUCCACUAUUUUUUUGCAUUUCUUUUUCUUAUAUAUAGGUAUUAAUGGAAAUGCGCGCGCGCACACACACAUAAUAGUUUAUUGGUGAGCACUACGUUGAGGGUCACAUCAAUGUUUUUAAAAAUUUAACAAAAAAUAUUCAGGUUGUAGAAAACUAUUUGGUAUUCUAUUAAACCCGGCCUAAUAGAUUACCCUUGAAACCUCCUAAUCUGACUUCUUACCUAGCCUAAGUUUAAAAUUAAACUAUGUGGAAAUUAUCUCAAUGAGAUCCAAUCAAUUUGAUCAGUCUAGAGGCCUCCUGAACAACCGAUAAAAAAAUUGAGAAAAAAAUGAUAAAAGUGACAUAAAAAAUUUACUGACCAAACUUCUUGCUUGGUCAAUAGAUUUAAAAUUAAAUUAUGUAGAAGUUACCCUGACAUGACAGUUAAUUUGGCCGGUUUAAAAGUAACCUAGUCGAUUAAUAACCGAUAAAAAAAUUGAGAAAAAAAUGAUAAAAAUGACAUAAAAAAUUUAUUGACCAAACUUCUUGCUUGGUCAAUAGGUUUAAAAUUAAAUUAUAUAGAAGUUACACUGACAUGACAGUUAAUUUGGCCGGUUUAAAAGCAACCUAGUCGAUUAAUAAAAAUAAUAUGAGAAAACAAUUAAGAAGAAAUGAUGAAAUGAACAGGAAAAAAACUAAUGUGAACCUCUGAAUCAAAUGAUCAAGCAAUCCCCAAUAAAGUUGAAAUACAAUCCUGAAAGUAAAAAAUUAGGUAUGAUAGAACUCCGACCUAUAUGUAACCCUGUACUUAAGAACCAAAUGUACUGAAACAAACUUGGACUCAAAGAUAAACAUGUACCUAACAAUCUAAAGAAUACAAAUGACAUAAUGAAGCUAGUUAAUCUUCGAUAAGUUGGAUGUACGAUUUUUGUCCCUGCAAAGAAAUGAUAUUUUACCACAAAAAAAAAAAAAAAAACUCACAUUUAUUAUCACCAAGAUGCUAAAUUUUGUAACUCCAAAAACAUUAUAUAGUCUAAUUCAAAUAACUCUAAUGGACCUCUUUUGAGUUACAAGUUAAUGGGCCUAAACUAUGAAUCAAUUAACAAAAUUCUAGUAAUGAAAUAAACCCCUUUACAAUAUCUAAUGGGUCAGAACAGACCCAAAUUAAAAAUAAUUUUUCAACAUCAAAUAAGUAAAAUAGGAUGAUAAAAACAAAGUUUUCAUGUUAGAAUUUUUCCAUUUAAUCGAAAUCUCUAAGCUCUUUUAGGUGGUGUUUUGACUAAACAUUUAGUAUAGGAAUUCAACUAGAAAACUUUAUUUUGAUUGUUAGAAUUUUAUUAUAUUGCCUCCUCUUAUUCUCCUUGAUGUUUUAGGAAUACCUAUAAAAUAAAGAAAAGAAACCCAAGAGAAGCAUCCUUUUAGAUGCCGCCACAUCAAGUCCUUGUUGAACUUAGAAUCUUUGCAUAGUACGAACUCUAAUUUUUCAAUGAAUCCAAGCCAUAUUAGAAACACUUAUAGCCCAUGCACAAGUUUAUGACCUAAAUAAGUAGGAAACUGAAGGAAAAUAGUUUUAGCUAACAAAGAAUAUGAUGAUUAUAAAAGAGAAGAAGAUCAUGUCAUACUUUAAGCUUGAGGUUGUUUAUAUAGCCUUGAACCCAUGUGAUGUCUCCAUGCUAGGGUAGGAUGAUCAAUGUGUUUGUCACCUAUAAUUUUGGACUCCUUGGAGAUAAAGGUCUAGAGUAACAACAAGCAUCUACAAAAUCUGCCUUCAUUAUGGGUUUUGUGGGACAUGUAUUGUUGAUGACAAUACAACAUAGUUGUUAGACUUGAUCUAAGGUUUGAUCUAGAAAUAGGUUUGGGUCAUUGGAUUGUCAAGCCAAUCAUUUUAUAAAAAUAAUAUUUUUUUGUUCUUUAUAAUAAAAACUCCUUGAUGUUAACCUUACUAGGUUUGGACUAGGUUUGGUUGGGUAAUGGGUAAACCUACAAGGUUAAUAGGGUUUUGGCUAGUCAAUAUCUUUUUUUGGUUCAAGUUAAAAUCCAACCCAAGUUAUGGGUUUCUCGAGUCAACCUAUCAUGCCAAGAUGAGUUUAAUAAAUAGAUGAAAUAUGACCAAUCUCUAUAGAUAUAUAGUUAAAAGGUGCGCCUUCAUUUAAUGCUUAUACGUCCUAUACCUGUAGAUGAUGGUGGAUAAACCAGAUUGACCAAGGGUAAUGCACUUGAAGAGUAUUGGUUAUCUUCAAUGUGUAUUCGCCUGAUACUAGGUUGGGCUUACACAUGAUCUCAACGUGUUUUUUGUUCAGUGGUAUUGUCUUAUUGUGCUCUUUGGACGCCUCGAAACCAUUUUGAUAAUGAAUGUUAUGGGCAUGUUGGGAUAUCAACCUUUUUUAGGGCCUAAAUUAAUGAUCUCAAGUUUAGUAGAAUAGUGGGCCAUAUGAUACACUUGGACCCAAAACAAUGCGAGAUCUAUUUGGACCCUGGGUGCUCAAAUAAGCUUCAUCGUCUAUUAUUGCUUUGAGUUAAUCUUUCAUGUGAGUCUUACCUUGAGUUUUGUGAUCAUAUAAUUAGGGGUGGCGACCCCGGACCCAUCAUUAUUCUUCCAUUUUUCCUUUAUAAUGUCCUUGUUGUUUUCUUUUAAAUGUUUUAUAAUAGCUUGUUGUGGUUGUAAAAGAAAAGAGAUAUGUUUUGAGGUUUGAAAUUAGUUUAUAACUAAUUAGUUAACCUAUGCUUGCCGCUAGUGGAUCAUAAAUUUUUAAAUGUAAUAAAUAUACAAGCAUUUUUAAUGUGUUUUUUGACAUAAAAAUUGAUGCAUAUAUUUAAUUAAUUAAAUAAAAAAUCAUAUGAACUGAUAUGUACAAAAAAGAGUUGUGAAUGCUAACAAAAAAAUAGACUGAAAAGUUAAUAGAUAGAUGUAGAUAAAGAUAUUUAAUCUUACAUCACAAUCCAUGGACCUAGUUCGAUUUAAUAGCUCUAUUUUUUAAAACUAAUUCUUUAUUUAAUUAAAUGAUAAUAAAAAUAAAUAACAUUAAGGAAGUGACAGAAUAAAAUUCAAAGAAAAAGAAUAUUAUGUAGGGUUGCACCAAAAGAAAACUUGCUAGUGUCAGAAAAGAUGUUUUAACCAAUUAAAAAGCCAAACAAAAAUUAAAUAGUUUUUUAUUAUAAAUAAUAUCCCAAAAAUACUUUUGAUUAUUUUAUUUUAAUUAAUUAAAAUUGAAUAUCUUGUCGGAUGGGCAUGCUAUACAUAUAUUUAACCAUUAUAUUUUAAUUAAUCUAAAUUUAAAUCAAAUAAAAAGAUAUUAGAAAGAUAAAAGUUAAAGAAAUGGGUUCAAACGUUUAGGUCUUGGUAGCCUAGUGAACCUGGCUUAGUAAAAGAACCGUGAGCACAAAUAUAACAUUUAUUUUUAAUCCUUGUCAAGGUUAACUACCCUAACCUUUUUUUAAAACAAUAAAGGCAAACGACGCAUCGUCUAUUGGUGUAGACGACAUGUCUUCUACAUGCUCAAUUUUCAACUAUCAUAGAAAUUGCUGGAAAAUUAGGUUGGGUAAUUUUUAUUUUUUUUAUCUAAAACCCUAAUUUUUAAUCUAUUGUCACCUAAUUUUUUUUAAAAGACACCCUUAUAACCUCAAAAUUAGUAAAAAUACAUGAAAUCAACUAGGAAAAAAAAACUUUUUUUCAACCCUAAUAUAUCUUUUUUGGUAACAUGGAAGCCCAAAAAAACCUGAUCACAUUUUUCAUUAAGAUAAACGCUUUGACAUUAAUUUUAGCUAUUUUUAUAAAUAAAAUCUGACCAAUCAAUUUCUUUUUUUUCUCAUUUGUUGUUUUUUGGUGACCUUAUCCCUUCCCUCAAAUUUAGAGAUUGAAAUGUGCACAAAAUAAAAUUUUAGAUUAAAACAUAUAAUUAUCAACUAAAAGGAUCAAAAAUAUUUUAUUGACAAAUCUUAAGGAUAAAAAUGUCAACACAAUUUUUUUUAAAAAGAACUACUAUUUUUAUUUAUAUGAUUAACGUCUAAGCAUAAUACGAGACUUAUUCAUGUGAUAUCUUCAUGUUUGGAUAAGACAAUUAAUAUGUUUAUCACCUAUAAUUUUAGACCAUUUGAAGACGAAGGUCAAGGCUAUAUAAACAGCCUUGAGCUUAGGACGAGGCAUGAUCUUCUUCUCCUAUAAUUAUCAUAUUCUUUGUUAGAAAAUUGUCUUUUCUGUCUUUAAGCUUUGCUCUUUGAAAACACACAUGCCACAACCCUCUAAAACUCUUUUUUUUUUUUUCAGUGUUAACUUAAACAUAAGAAAAUCUCUUAUUCGAAAUAGAAGACUAGUUUUAUAAAUACUCCAAGUGUCCAAACCUAAAAUCUCUUACCAUUAAAUCUAUCCUUUAAUUUUGGGAAGAACUUAACCCUUUCAAGUUUUCAAUAUCCUUGUAAUAAUCAUAUGUGAAGGGAGAAAAGAAAGUUCGAUUGUAAUCCAUUAUCUUUCUAUUUUUCUUUUUCUCUCUCAUUUCCUUAAUUCUCACACCUGAUUAUUUUUCCUUCCCUUCAAGGACAAAACGAACUAGAUUUUUUUAAAAAAAACUUCAAUUGUAGUCCAAUAGUCUCAAUUGUUCGGAAAACAAAAUAUCCGAACAAUUUUUUGGAAAAUCAGGCGACAACCCAAUGACGAGCCUUUUUUUUUUUUACUUCGUGAGAACCCUAAAUCAGCCCAUCAAAACAAAUUCCUAGGGACUAUCUCAAAUAAAAUCAACAAGAAAGAAUCAAAUUAAAAAGAAAAAUACAUGACAAAAAGAAAAAAACAAAACCAAAAAACAUUGCGCUGUGGGAAUCCAAAGUGUAGUUAUGUGUGGGUGUACAAUUGAUGAAACAGUAUUAGCUAUCUUAGUGUUUUGUAAAUAAUUUUAUACAAUGCAACUUGCAGUGAGGGAGAGGGAGGGGAGAGAGAGAGUUGGAGGCCAGUUCAUGAUCCAAACUGCAACCUAACUCAAAUUUUCCUAGAAACUUAGAUUAUUAAAAAACAAUCUAAACCCGCAAAAUGAAACGGGUAAACAAAAACGAAAGGUAAGGCACAACCCAGACAUCUACCUGGCUAUUUACAAAGGCACGAAACAACCACCAGCCGAUUUCUACAUAAUUAACGCCAGUACUGAGCCCACCGAUGAAUGGUCUCAACCAUUUGAGGGAACAAUGCACUAACACUCUCAUUUAUAAGAUCCUGGAAAAAGUGUAUGCAGGCCUCAUCAUCCAUGUCCAACCGAAACUUCUCCUGCAGCUGUAAACAUCACCAUAGACUAAAUCAUAAAACAGACAGAAAGGAAAAGGAAUAGAAAAUAGAUGUAAGAAAAUAGUCGCAAGAAAUAUAAAGUGUUACCUUGAGAAUGCCUUUUUCAGGAUCAGAAGCUAUGUCAGGAAUGUUGGAACCCGCCAUCAGAUGGAAAAGAUUCAAAAUUAGGUUACUGGACUUCCUAAUGAUGUUGUAUGCUUCACAGCAGUAGGAUUUAAACCUGGUAUAGUAUGGGCUGCAAGACAAUAAUAAUAAAUAAAUAAAUAAAUAAAUAAAAGCUUAUUCACACAUUUGCUUGCGUGCAUUUUAAGAGCGUCCUAAAUUGUUUCCAAAUCUACCGGUUUUUAAGGAAGCUACACACGAAAAUAGAAAGAGAAAACCAGUAAAGAGGGAAGAAAAACUUUCUAUACCACCUAUGGCCUUAAUUAUUUUUUUGCAGAGUUUGAUAAGGUACCUAUUUGUACCCUAGUGAAUCCUAAAUCUACUUAUCCAGCAAGGACAUAAAACGGUAUAGAAAGAUUAAAUAAAACAAAUAACACCUUUCUGCACCCCCCAUGGCCUCAACCAUUUCUUUGCAGAGUUUCAUUGGUGGUGGAAAAUGCUUUGGAUCUCGGCCAAGAAUAAAACCAAAAUCAACAUGGAAAAGACGCCCAUCUUCCGUGAGGAGAAGGUUGUCUAGGUGCCUGGGACCAAGAAAAAUAGAUAUCUUAAGAAAUACAUUCUACUUUAAAUAUCUACAGCAGCCCUAGGAAGUACAGAAAUUAAGAUGCCUGUGCAAAGAUGAAAGGUCUUUUCGAGAUUGCCAGCCAACACUCAACAAAGCAGAUAAAAAUGUGGGGGUGUACACCAACACACACGCACAUAUAUGAAAGCAUAAUGAGACAAUUUGCAUAAAAUUUCAGAUUCCACAUAUUGAAAAUCAAAGCCACAACGGGAAAAGGACAAACUCCACUUUUACAUAAGCAAAGGUAAAUAAUCUUUGGGGGCCUAGUGGGAUGGGCCACUAGGAAAAUGCUGUUUCUCUGGCAAUCAGAUGAAUCACUGUUCAAUUACUCUAGGUUAUAAUUUAAACUCCAGUUCUCCUGGAUCAUGAACUGUAGCAUGUAAGCUACUUCCAAGUAUAAGGAACAUAAAACCAUCUGAAGAAAUUUUUAAUUUACGUUAACUUUUCAAUAGCCUGGGAAUGAGAUCAUGCUCCUACUCAAAACACCUAGGACAGCUUAACAACAAGCCAGCAGCAUUUGCGCAUUUCAAGAACUAGGCUGUAAACCUUCCCAGCCACUAUCAUUUCUGGGGCUCUAGUGUGAAAGAUGAAUUGCUAACAUAAUUUGCAAGGUACAUACACACGCAUUUUAACGUGUGCAUGAUUAGACAUUACCUGUCUCCAACACCCAAUAUAUAUGUGAUUACAGAGUAGCCAGCACAACUUUUUAUGAAUGUCUCAAGACAGGAGGCUGUGAUCCCAAAUGGUCCAUGUUCAUCAGGAUGAAACUUCUGCAAAUAGUUAAUAAUGCUACGAUGCUCUUGGAGAAUCUGGAUUUGGAAACAUGAUUGUUAGCGACCAAUCAUAACAUAAUAUGUGUUACAUAUGAUAUGAAUUUCUUGAAUAAAUCUUUAUGAACAUAAUUCUAACAACUAAUCUGCAAUAAAGAAUAAAUAAUUGAGGUCCCUUUUAAUUCUCAGAUAGUAUGGAAAGGGCACAAUAACCAGUGAAUCAGUUUGUAAACCAUGUUCAGGUAUAGUAAGCCAUUUUUUAUCCCUUUAUUUCCCUCCAAGUUCUAAGAAUCAUAGAGAAGAUCUUCACCAUUGUCCACAAAAAAAAUUCCAUCAUCAUAGAAAAUAACAGAGCAAAGUGCCUUGCUGAUCAUGAAGGAAGUCAUUUGAAAGGCUAGGUACAAAGGUUGCAACAAAUUUACUUCAUGCAAAAUUUUCAGAUUGCAUUGAUUUUACUUUUUCAACUAUCCUUCGAAAGACAUUGUCUACUUGUCUCAUGUAAAAUCUUUUCUUGAAACUUGCAAAUUUUAGUAGAAAUUUUCUUAUAUGAACCUUUGAGCAUUUCAAAAGAAAGAAAAUGAAGUAUAAAUAUUGAGACAAUGGACACAUCUCCAUUGAGUUCCAAUGCAAUAACUUCGUUACAUAGUUGAUACACAUAGGUGAUUGGACUCAUCCCUUCAAAGGAUCAACAUUUGGAGGAUGAAAUACCUGAGCCAAUGAACGUGAUGGUAUGAAUUCUAGCAUGCCUUCAUCCUGUCCAGUAGCAAGCACCUUAUAUGGAGUUAAGUGCAGAUCAAGAUUUUCCAACUUAAGCAAUCGGUCCAUUAGAGAUACCAUUUGGACAACCUACAGGAACAUAUAUCAAAACAUCACAGAUGUCAAGGUCUAUCCCAAACAUUCUACCCACCAAACUCGAACAUAGUAUGCAGCACCAAUGCAUGUCUUUGUGUAGAUGUGUGCGUCGCACGCAUGUGACAGAGAGGGGGGAAGCACAUUAGAAGAUUUUUUUUGCAUGCCCAAUUAUAAUUUCUUAGGAUUCAACCAUUUACCAAUUGGUCUUGCCGAAGAUCAUCCCCCUUCUUAAAUAUGACCUUGCAAGUUUCACCAUUGUGUGUUCGAAAAGUCAGGCGCAAAGGAUGCAGUGCACUUUUGAAUAUCGUAGACUCUGAUGGCACUAUCCCAGUGAUAAGGACACCUGGAGCAAGCGGUGAUCUUAUUGGCUGGAAUCCAACACAGUAUUUAAAACAAUUUACAAAGUCUUAGCCGUCUUCAAUAAUAAUUUAGAUAGAAUAGAACAGUGAAAUGAAAAGCAUGCCAUUUUAAGAGCUUAUAAAAUGAAAUGCUCAAUGGAAAAGGAAAAACUACCUCUUCAAAAUAGGUAAGUUCACUAAGAAGACCUGAGAGAAGUUGUCUAAGCUUUUCAGUUUUCUUCUGAGUAUUGCCCCGCACAUUUCUUAAAUCUUUUGUUAUAGAACAUAACUGGGCUGUCAAUUCUGUCUGGCGCACCAAACUCUGCCACAACUUAAAUCCAUCUUCUUCUCCACUUGGACCAGCUGCCAACUGUUAUGAAGAGGAUGUAAUUACUCAACUGCAUAAACAACUUUGCAAUCCAUAUUUUACUGAGGAAAGGAAUUUUGUUUAAAAGCUAAACACAGCCAAUUAUAAUAGUCUAGCACCAUUUGAUACCUCAAGUUGCUUCUUUUCUUCAUCAUAAAAGAUACUUGUUCCAUGCAGUGAAAAUUACAUUUUGGAAGUUACAGAGUAAACUUGGAUUCACCUAUGUCUUCUCCGCUUAUAUUUAGAAUACCAACCAUACAGAGAGUCUGAAAUGAUAUUUUGCUACUUCUAAUUGUCUUUUACACUUAGAGGUUACACAGAGAGAACUGAAAUGAAGAUAUAGAUAUUUUGCUACUUCUAUCCCUCUUUCACAAGUGGAGGAACAUGAAUAUAUAUGCCACAAUGUUACAUGGAGAACAACAGAAAUUAGGAUGUUGAAUUGUUGACUUGUUCAUCUCUGGGUCAAAAUGCAACAGAGAGCACCAUAUAAUUUUGAUCAAGCACUAUGCUCUUCCACAACAAGGGUUUAUCCUUUUGCAUUUAGUUGUCAUGUAUGAUCCUCUGUUAGGAGAGUACUUAACACUGUCAGCUUGUAUAUGAGAUGGCAUGAUAAAGAUAAACUUACCAAACCCUUUCUUAUGUUGCUCUUUAUCUUUUUAGAGCAUCAUACCAAACAAAUGGGGCAAAGGCUCUUGCUGACACAGAAACCACAUUUCACUCAAGCACAAAACAAAAGACAGGCCAAUGAAGUGCUUAUAGCCACAAUCAUAUGCUGCUCUUUUUUUAAUCUUUAGGGCAAAAGUUAUAUAGUAGUAUUGUUAGACAUUGAAACUAGAAACAGAUUAAAAUCCUGAAAUAUUGCCAGAAGCUGCAGUUAAUAUAAUUUAAAUGGAUGUGAGGAACUUGCUCUGCCACUCAUGGGAUCAAAAGAACUAAUGUUUAGGAAAAUAGAACACAGAUAUGAUGGGCUACAGAAAUUUCAUAAUGCACACCUUCACCAUAUUCUCCUCCAGUAUCUCAUACGUAGAAUAAAACCGUUUUGCAUAUGCAGGAUCAUAAAGUUCCACAGCAACAUACCAACGAAGAAAGCUACCCAGCUCGAUGUUGUUUAAUGCUGUCAAACACAACAAUAGUCUCAGAUGCAAUAAAGAAGCUAACCGCAUAAACAUGGAUAGAUGGAAGGAUGGAUGGAUAGUAUACAUGCGUGCAUGGAUAUGAACAUACACACCCACUAACCUGUAUGCACACACAUACAGACAUUCUAUAACACUUAAGAGUACAAAGCAUACAGCGUUUUACGAGGAAUUGAGAAAGGCGAGAUUUAUCAGAGCGCUCAAAUCUAAGAGCCUGAACCAGUUGAAGUAAGUAACACUGAAGUUCUUCAUCAUCAGCUCUUUCAAGAACACUGACAGCAUAUGCACGAACCUGUUAAGAGGAAUUACAAUCAGGCAUCAUUCACUCUGGAAAAGAUGUGUAAAAUUCUCCAUUUUACAGGCAUUUUUCUUGUUGAGGAUAUUAUGCAUCAGCAUUCAGGCCUUUAUAAUAUGUUCUGAAUCUUUAAAAAAUACUCAUUGGAUUCUUAUGAAUGCUUUAUAGGUCAUUAUCCCAAGCAUUGUCCCACCUAAGAUCUCCGAAAAGAAAACUUGGAUAGUUUGGACUUUGGAAUAAUAUUAAUUCAUAAGACAGCUCUUCCAAACAAAAGGCAUAAAAAAAAUAAAAAAGGCAGGACUUCUGAUUAGUCAAAGAAUGGUAAGAGCAAGACACCAGAUCAUUCUUGCAAACCCACCUCUUCCCUCUCAAAUACAGGAGAUAGAAGCUCCAAUGCAUCACAUACAUCAAUCAUUUCCCACCUAUUCAUCAAUUCUAAUGCCUGCUUUGCUUCCUGAAAAUACAUCAGCAUAAAAACAUUUAGAAAUUAUCUAUAUUUUGGUUAGUGAUAAUAAAGCAAAUAAAAAAAAAUGUAGUAAAAGCAUUUGAGGAAAAGCAAUAAAAACAGAUGCUGAAUUUGAAUAAUUAAAAUCAGAAAAUGGUGAAAUAGUCAAGCAAACAAUAAUUAUUAACACAACCAUGUGAUGCAACCAAUAGCUAGCAAAUAAAGUCUACACCUCCCUUCCCCAAAUGAUAAAAAACACCAUGAUUCUCACAAGUUGAAGAUCCAAAAAGUAAUUUGAGAUAUUGGAAGGAGAAAGGGAACGUGAGAAAGAAGAGAGGUGAAUCAAUGUUUCAGUCAUUUCACCCAUGCAGUAAAUUACAGAGUAAAAUUUCAAAGGGAAAAUAAUCAAAUGCUGACCUGAACAUCACUCCAUUCAACACAUCGUAGGAACUUUGUAAGAGCCCUCUUCUCUAACAUCAAUGAGAAACGGAAUUUCCACAGAAGCUGUCUUUCAUCUCCAUUCAAAAUCCUUGUUGGCGGGUACUUCAGAAUCCUUUGAAUUGACCUUAAAAACAAGUAGGCAAAUGAUAUAACUCAACACAUGCAAGAUAAAACCACUCAAUAAAUAAGUUAAAAAAAUAGUGCUGAAAUGACAUAAUCAAUCCAUGACAGAGAUGAGAUAAAUUAACAUAUGACAGUUAUUGAUUGCCCAGUGUUAAUGAAUAUCAGACCCAGCUGCUCUAUUAUACCAAAGCUCACACUAGAAUAUCUUUGUACAAGUUCAGCAAGUUUUAACAAGAUUCAACAUUCAAGACUGAAGCUGCAAAUUCUGACAGACUAGCCAUGUCAAUUCACAAGCGAAUCUCUCAAUAUAUCUCAACAGAAAAAAUUGAGCUGAGUGCACAUAAGAACUUACAAUUUCUAAGGGAAGUUUAUUUUUAUAAGAAAUUGAAUCUCUCAUGUAAAGGGUUUAGAGCUUACUUCCGUUCAUUAGAGCUUGGCUUCAGAUCCCUGUCAAUUAUACCUCGUGUCAGACUUCUUGCCAGCUUUAGUUGCUUGUGCUCAGAGGGAUUUAUCUUUCCAAUUUCUGGAUCCCACACAGUAACAAGCUCAUUUGUUGAAGCUAUAGGAGAUGGUAAUAAGAAAUUUGCUCCUGACUCCUACAUGUCAGACAAAAAGUUUUAAAAUAUGUAUAGAAUUUGGGCUACAAUAUUAACCACAUCAUUUGCCCCAUGCUUGAAUGAGCAGAAAUGUAAUUUGAUGUGGUUCAAGAAGUCGUCCUAGAAAAGUCAGGUGUCUACAACGAGCCCAAGGCCAGCAUACUUAAUCAGUAUUUAUUGGACUUCUAUAUUUACUAUAGUAUGAGUAUAAAAGCUAUCAAAUUCGCAUGCUCAUUAUGGCAUCCAUGACCAAGCCAUUGCCCCAUCCAUUAUAGGCACCUUCUGCAAAAUUGUCAUAGAGUCAAUGAUGAAGGAAUUGUUAAGGAUAAUAUCCUUGAUCGAUCAUGAUCUAUCUCCUGGUCGAUCAUGGUUGACCUCAUGCCUCAUAUCCCAGAUUGAUCAUGAUCUAUCUGCUAGUCACAUCUCUUGUUGAUCUCAUACAUCACUCAAUCAGCAAGAAUCAAGGGAUUGACAACCACAACAUAUAUCAAGGAUCAUAUAAUGUCAUCCUAUCUUCUGUUUCCUGAAUACAUGCUUUGUAUAUUAAUGCUGCUGAUUAUUUGAAUUUACCAAAUAUAGAACAUUGUAAAGAUACAUAAAUGACAGACCUUGAUCAAGAAAAUCAAUUCAAGCCUUUGCAUUUUCAUUCUCUUGUCUUACAUGGUUUCAGAGCCAACACAGCUAACACCACUAUCCAAAAUGCCUGAUUCAACUACUUCCCAAAGCAUGUCCUUUCUCAUCCCCAAUAUUACCCAGUUCAUAUCAAUCAAGUUGGAUCACAACAACUAUUUACUGUGAGUGUCAUGGUUCUUGCCUGUCUUGCAUACCCAUGAUCUUUUGGGUAUUGUCAAUAACUAAAAUCCUUGCCCGCCCAAAAACCCUGACUCCACCUCUGAAGCCACACCCAAGAUCAACCUAGAUUUUGUUCUCUGGACUAAGACGAAUUGAUACCUUCUCAGUUGGAUCAAUGCCACAUUGACAAAAGGUGUCCACUCUACUGUUUCCUAAAGACAUGCUUUGUAUAUUAAAGUCGCUGAUUAUUUGUGUUUACCAAGCAUAGAGCACUAUAAAGCUAUAUAUAAAUGACAGGCCUUGAUCAAUGAAAUUAAUUCAAGCCUUUACAUUUUCAUUUUCUUAUCUUAUCUUACAGGAAUUAGGUGCGUUAUAGAUAGGUCCUAGGUUUAAAUCUUCCAAAUCAGGCAAGAGAAUGAAUAAGUAAGAUUGUCAUAACCAAUUUUAACUAGUGAAUAACCAAAUAUUGAUAUUUGAUGUUAGAAACAAAAAUUGAAAAUCAAUAGAGGAAAUAAACAAUUUAUAAACAUUAUUACUGUAAUUGUACUUAAGCAGGUUCAAUUUCAAACAAAAGUAGAUGAUUGCAUGUGGAUCAUACCUGAAAAACAACUCGAUGUUCAAGACUGCAAAAAUCAACGACCAAGUACAAGGAAGAAUUUCCAUUUUUACAGUUUUCACGUUCCUUGAUUUUCUCCAUAGCUUUGAAAGUGAGACGGUCGAGCCAAUCAACACACGGAAUUUGUCCUCUCUCAUAUUUAUUAACAAGCUUCUCUAAACGCUCCACCUCCCCACGCUCUUGCUUGGGGACCUGCAACCACAGAAUUCUUAUUAGAAAAUGCGGCAGGAUAUGUAUCAGAUGCAUGUUGCAAAUCAAGUGGUAUCAGUAACCUUUCCAGGAGUAGUUGUCGGAAAUGAUCCAUCCGCUUCCUUCCCUGGCCAAAGCCUAAGCUUUUGCUUCCCUGUUUUGAGUUGCAUCUUGUUGCUAAAAAGAAGAAUGGUUGCUCCUCCAAUCAAUCCCUCAUCUUUCCCACAUGAAACAUCCCAAACCUACAUGUGAAAGCAGGUUGAGCAUUAACCAAAGAAGAGGUCCUAAAACAGUAGAGAGAAGCGGCAAACACCUAACCAUUAACCCUGAAACGACUUUUCUCUAUAUAAGCUCCCAAUUUUGAAUCAACAAAAGCGAGCAGAACAACAGGAGUCAAAGGAAGUUUAUCAACAUAUCAACAAAAGCGCAUUCAAUUUCAGCAAGACUGCAGUUUUAACACACAUUACAGUAAUAGUGAAACAAGGCAUGACAUAAUCCAGUGCAUGAAAAACUUGAGUAUUGCAAAGAAAAUGGAUCAUAAUAUACUUUAUGUGAAGGAUUACUUGCAGCAAUAAACCAUGCAGAAAAGGGAAGGUUGAUUGAUACUAGGAUGGAAAUCUCAAAACAUUGAUAUUUUCAAAUAAUUUAAUUGAAAUAACUGAACUAUAUAAUAUAAUAUAGCGUACAAUGCUCUCCUACUGAAAAAGUUACUGUUCGAGGACAUUAAUUAAAAAAAAAAAAGAAUUUGGAAGCAACUCUCCUAAAAAGAAAAUUACCGUGAAAGCGAGCUGUGAGUGGGCAGUUAAGUCGCGAUAUUUAGUGCUCAUGGUGAUCAGCUCAUUCCAGCAAUAUGAUGCUCCACCAGAUUCCAAUCUAGCACCCAAAACACCCAAAAAAAAUAAUAAAAAAAAACCUAAGAUUAAAAAUAAAAUAAAAAAGCUCUCAAGAAAAAGGGGAAAAAAAACCUAGUUCUGAUGGGAAGGCCGAAUGGAGCGCCAUCAAUGUACAAGGCACACUCAACGUACAGCUCUGCAUUUAUCUCUUCUGUGAUUAUGGAAUGAAUUCAUUUCAAUUAUCAGAUUUCAGCAUAGAUAGGUAAAUUGAAUAGAGAAAGGGAGGGAGGGUGACUAACUGACCUGAAUUGGGUGACUUCGUAGGAGAAGAAGGCAAAGGUCCGAGGAGUCUCUCGACACGAAAAGUGACGGGGAGAUUGAUGUCGCAGGACAAGAAGAAUCGAAAUUCCUUUCCACUCAUCCCUUAAUUUUAUAUCUUCUUCUUCUUCCUGAUUUAAAUUUCAUUCAUAAUAUAUAAAUAUAAAUAUCAAGGAAUACAUAAGAUAUAUUUCAAAGGCAAGUGAGAUGAAAUUAAAAACCAAGUCUACAAGAAGAAGAGAGAGCCGGGUUCAGAAAGAAAAGGCCCACCACAGUAGAAAGCUUGUAUUAUUAGUUCUUCUAUUAUGCCUUCAAUGGCACGUUUUGCAAUUUUUUUAUAUAUCCGCUUCCGUUAGAUCGGAUGCCACGUGUUAAAUAAAAAUAACUGCUAUACUAAAAAAAUAAAAAUAAAACUCAAAUUUGAAUAUUAAAUUUAUAUUUUUUUGAUGAAAAUAAUAUUUGAAAAUAAAACAACUGCCAAUUUUUUAUUUUUUUCUUUACUUUAAAUUAAUAUUUUUUUAUACUUUUCAGAUAUUUUGAUGUGCUAGUAUUAAAAAUAAUUUUUAAAAAAUAAAAAAAUUUAUUUUGAUGUAUUUUCUAGUAAAAAAUAUUUUGAAAUAAAAUCACAACCACAUUUCCAAAUAUAUUUAGGCUCCGUUUGUUUGCAGGAAAGUGAUUUCCUUUUGGAAAGUGAAUUCCGGGGAAAGUGAAUUCAGGGAAAGUAUUUUCCGAUGUUUGGUAGUGUUAUGGGAAAUGAACUGGAAAACACUUUCCAGUGUUUGGUUGUGUAAUGGAAAAUGAACUGUAAAAUAAUUUAUUAAUAAAUUAAAUUUUUUUUCAAGUUUAUCUAAUAUAUAUAUAAUAUUUAAUCACUUACAAUUGUCAUAACCCAAUUUUUGACCUUUUUUAUUUUUAUUAUUUAAAAAAAAAAGAUGAUGAAAAAUAAAAAUAAAAUAAAUGAAGGAUGAAUUAAAAUUUGGGUCAAGGGCAACAUGAUUGGAAGUUUAAAGAUUUGAUUAAACUCUUGACUAGUUUAAUUAAUUAAAUCAAGGGUUUAAUUGGAGAAUUGAUUUAAUUAAAUUUUAGAUUAUUUUAAUUAAUGAAAUCAAGAGUUUAAUUGAAGAAUUAAUGAGUUUAAGGACUUAAUUAAACUUUAAUUUAAUAAAAAAAACCCAGGAAUUAAAUAAAAUAAACCAACCGUAAUUCUCUGCUAUAGUAGCAGUGAAUUAUAAUUCGCUGCUACUGUAGCAAGUGAAUUAUAAUUCGCUGGUGAAUUAAUUUAUUGUGCAGCGGUAGUGCGUGCACGCCAAAAGAAAAGUAUUUUCCUUUUAUUAACAGAAGGAAUUCACUUUCCUUUCCAAGUGUUAAUUUCUUAAGUUUGACUAGAAUUUAGAUCAUGUUGACUGCUUUUCCAAAUGACUACCAAACAUGGGAAAACAGGGAAAGUGAAUUUCCGGAAUUUGUUUUCCUGCAAACAAACACACCAUUAGAUGAACUAUCUUUCUUCUGGGAUUAAUCACAACUUUUGUUCUCUUAUUAAAAAAAAACUAUUUUUUAAUGUGAUCCUUACAUUAAUUUUUUAUUCAAUCAAUAAUCUUCACCACCCAUAUUGACAUCUUAAAUAAAAUCUAAGAUUAACUUGUUUAACUAUGAAAAUAAAAAUAAUUUAAAUUCUGAAAGAAAAAAAAGAAUAAGAAAGUUAUUUAAGCAUGGAAAAAAAAUUACAAAUAUCUAGGCCUUUUUCCAAAAUUUAAAAAAAAUUAAUAUCUUUUGAAAUCUGAAUAUCUAAUUUUUUGGUAUUUUUUCAAAAUACUUUUUUAAUUUUUCAAGUUUUAUAUUAUUAUUUGAUUUUCGAAUUUCUAAUAAUUUUUUUCAAAAUAUACAUUAUAAUUUGCUUUUUGUUGUUUUCAAGUUUUUUAUUUUUAGAUUUCUAGAGAUUUUAAUGAAUUUAAAAUUUUUAAAAUAACUUAUUUUUAAUCUGAAAACUUUCAAUUAUUUUUAUUUUUGAAUGUUGGGAAUUUUAAAAAACAAAAUACAAUAGUCAAAUUUAGAUAACAUAUCUAUCACUGUGGCAAAAGUUAACAUAAAUUAGAUAAUAAUAAAAUAGAGAGGCUAUAUUAACGAAAAAAUUUUAAGUUGAGGGACCAAGUAAAUUCAAAAUAUAAUAAAGAGAUCACUAUGUUGUUAUUUAAUUUUUGAUAAAAAAAAUUUUUUAAAAAAAAUUCAAAAAUAUAUUUUUAACUUAUUUACAUCCAUUGCAGCAUCUUUUCCAAAUAAUUUAAAAUAAAAAAAAUACAUUUAAUUUUUUGAUGAUCCAAUUAUAAUUGUGAAAGAAAAAUAACCAAUUUGAAAAUUAAAAAUCCUCUUACCAAGUAACUUAAUUUUUUUUAAUAAAAUGAUCUACAAUUUAUUCUCUAAAUCUAAAGAUUUUUUUUUUUGUAUUGUCUCUGGAUAGUAAAUGAAAAAUUGUGAUUUAUUCUUGAAAUCCAAUGAUUAAUUAAUUAUUUUAAUUUAAUAAUUUGUUUUUUUUAUUUACAAAUAAAUGGUUAUGAUUUAUUUUUAAAAUUCAAUGACUGAUCUUAGUUUCCUUCGUCUUUAAAUCUAAAAAAAACUUCACGAAAAACUUUCUCACACUUUUCUUUUCAAAUCUCCCCCAUUAAAUAAAAAAAAAACACUAGCCUCCAGGGGGGGAGACCAAAAAAAAAAAAGCUGCUGCUCACUCGCAUUUUUUUCUUUCCCAUCGCCGGCUACACCCACAGGCCACAGCCUUCUACCCCACCGUGAACCAGACCAGCCUUUGUCCCAGAAGCCCCCAUCACCAGCCACCCUCACUCAUGUCCCUCCAUCUUCUAUACUGAAACCACCUAAAAAUACCAGCACCGAAACCCACCUCCAACAACCACCCAGCCCAGCCACCAGCUCGUCAACCACCCAGCCACUAGCUUGCCAGCCACUCUCCUCCCCACCUAACCUGCCUACACCCACACGCCGCCAUCAUCUUCAACCUUAGGCCAUAGCCUACACCAACUUGCCAUCUUUCUUUCCACUUAGCACCACUUUAAAUAAAGCACCUCCCUAUUUUGUUUCAAUACGAGCCCGGGACUGUUAAUCUCUCAUCUUCUUCAUCAGCCCACGGCUGCCAACCCCCAAGUCACCAACCACUGAACCUCCUUCCAGCAGCCACCACACAGUCGCUUGCCCCGACUCUUACCCUUCACAUCCAAGAGCAAGCACUGACUAAGCUGCUCCUCUAUUUCCACCUUUUCCUUUGCUCCUGAAAUCAGCCUAUCCAUCAUAUACGACCAUUUCCCCUUUUCUCUCUCAAUAUCAACACUCGCCGGCCAUCAACUCCUCAACACCAGCCGCAAUAACUUGUUAAUUAAUAUUAAUUGUAGGCCUUAUGAGAUAAUUUGAAAGAAAUGCAAUAUUAGCAUAGUUGCUUAGGUGGGUUAUUUAACUUGCAUGAUUCAACAUAUGUCUCGUAUUAAAAAGACUAGUCAUCAAACCACAAAAACAUAACAGAGAACAAUUACAUCAAGAACUGCUAAUUGAAUUGCAAACAAAUAAUAACUCAUCUUGUAUAACACAUAUGAGUUAUGAUGUAUUUAGUUAAUAAGUUAUAAUACUUCAUGUGAGAGGACUUUUUAUGGAUAGUCAAUACAAUGCAAUUGAGGAUCAAAUUGCAAAGUUUCUUUACAUUUUAAAUGGUCAAACAAGUGCUCGAUCACAAAGCUUUUUUUUCUAUCAAUUUACUAAGACAAGACAUCAUUUUCACCAAGUGAUUAGAGUUCUAAUAACACUUGAAUAUCAAAUUUUAGCUCAACCAAAUGGUUCUAUAAUCCCAUCACAAAUACUUAACAAUGGAGAAAGAUUUUAUCCAUACUUUAAAGUAAUUCGUUAUAUAGAUAUAUUUAUUUUAACAAUAUCUAUGGAACUCAUAUAAUCAUUUUUAUUAAUGUAAAUAAAAUUUUUAAGAAUUGUAUUCGCACUAUAUAUAGAAAACAUAUCCAAUUCUGAAUAAGAUGUAUCAAGUUAUGGAGGAGGAAAAAGUUAUCGUAUGAUGAAUGUAUUAGUUGCUGACACUUUUGACGUGAAAUUCACUUAUAUCUUAGAUGGGUAGGAGGGCUUAGUUUCUUACUCAAGAAUUAUAGAUAACACUUUAAAUAGAGAGGAUAGGCUAAUGUUACUCAAGGUAUUUGGUUUUUAUACAUACAUUUUAAAUAGUGAAUAAAAAAUGAUACAUGAAGUUUUUAAAGUAAUUUUUCUUAAUUAUAUUUUUAGAUAAAUUCUACUUAGUUGAUGCAAAAUAUAUAUUGAGAUCAGGGUUUAUCACUCCAUAUCAAAUUACUUAGUAUCAUUUGAAAUAAUAUUCUCGACAUCUUUCUAAAAACACAAAAUAACUAUUUAACUUAAGACAUUCUUCAUUGUUUAAAGCAAAUAAAAAGGUUUUUGGUGUUUUGAAGUCAAUAUACUCAAUUCUAACCGAGAUGUCAAGAUAUGAUGCAAACAUAAUAUUUGAAACAUUUUUAGCUUAUUGCAUUUUACACAACUUAUUAAUGGAUUUUUAAUUUGGAUGAAGAAAUUAUUGCAUGAGUUGAUAGAGAGCACAUGAAUAAAGAGCCUAAAGGUGGAUUUAUUUAUGGAGGAAUUGAUGGAGGUGAAGAUGGAUGAAGGGAAGAAAUUACGAAAGAGACUAUGGUUGUAUAUAUAUGACAUGAUUACACAUCUCGACAUUAACUUGUCUUUUUUACCAUUGCUUUUGAUAAGAACUUGAUUUUAUGUAUUAUUUUUAUUUUACUUUGAAUUAGUUGUGUUUAAAUAUCUUGAACUUGAGACCGGAUGUUUAAAUUUUAUGUGUUUUUGUUAUAAUAUUUAUCGAGCUACUAUUGCAUUAUUUUAACCUUAAAUUUGUUUUUGUUUAUUUGACUUUUUUUUCUUGAGUAAUGUAAGUUAAAUAAUGUGUUAUACGAUGCUAUAUAAUAAUAUGCGGUGCUUUGGAUGUGGAGGGAGUUAUUUAUGUAGAAUGUGAAAAUGAUGGAGAAGCAUAGUUGAGUGGAUCAUAUGAAUGGAUGAGAUGAUGCUUGAAAUUCUUAGGGGACAAAAAAAUAGGAAUCAAAAUAAAGAUAGAGUUUUUUUUUUCUGAAGCUUGUAGGAAGAUGAUAGUUGAAAUUAAUAAAAAAAUUUCUUUGAACAUGUUUAAGACAAAAAUGUCAAAUCAUUUUAAAACUUUUAAGGAGCAAAUGGUUUUAGAAAAAACAAUUAACUCGAAAAGUGGAAUUGAAUGGAUGAGAUGAUGCUUGAAAUUCUUAGGGGACAAAAAAAUAAGAAUCAAAAUAAAGAUAGUCUUUUUUUUCUAAAGCUUGUAGGAAGAUGAUAGUUGAAAUUAAUAAAAAAAAUUCUUUGAACAUGUUUAAGACAAAAGUGUUAAAUCAUUUUAAAACUUUUAAGGAGCAAAUGGUUUUAGAAAAAACAAUUAACUCGAAAACUGGAAUUGAAUGAAAUGACACUACCAAAACAUUCAAAGCUUCGGAGAAAGUAUGGAAACCUUUAUUGAUGGUAUGGAUAUUAUAAUUCACUUGUUAUAUUUUCAUUAUUAUAUACUCAUUAGUUACAAUUGUCUUGAUUUAUUUACUAUUGUAAAGCCAAUUCUAAGUUAAGACUUAUUCGAGGAAAGCCUCUUCACCAUAAGAACAUUUUUAGAGAGACAUGUCAGAAAAAUAUAGCAAUUGGAUCUCAAGCCAAUAUUGCUAGAGAAAAUGUACAAAGAUAGGAGAGAGAGAAAAGGGAGAUGAUGAUGAUUUUAAUGAGAUACAAGCAAAUAAUAAGAUUCAAUCAGAGAUCUUUCAUCCCAAAUGCUCCAAGGUUCAUUAUCAUUUACUCCAUGAUUGUUUAGAACUUUAGCUUUGAAAGGUACAAAAUGAAAAAACCAAUGAUAAGUGAUCAUUAUUCCUAAUUUAAAGAAAUGACCCGUGCAAUAAAGAAUAUUCCACAAGUUGUUAUGAACACAAACCAUCAAGUUUGGAAGCCAAUCAAGAUAAUUAAAGUAACGAGGGGAUUAGGAUUGGAGGGAUCAAAUCUUUUUGAAGUAGUUGAAUGACUUGAAGAUCAUUCUAAUCUUAUUGAAAUAUUUUUUGGAUACCCGGAAGAGCUAUGCUUUGAAUGGUUGAUGAAAAAAAUGAGUUGAUAAUAUGUUAUUGAGGAGUUCAAGUUAAGCAUGAAAGUUAGAACUAAUAUUUAUACAAUUGCUAUAGGUUUAUUUAUACAAUUGUCAGAAAUUUAUUUUCUAUGGGAUAUUUUUUGAAUUAUUAGAACUAAAAAUCAUGAUAUCUUUAUUGAGUUGUUAACAUUAUUAAAAUUAUGUUAGUCAUUUACUUGUACUUUCUUCUUUAUGAUGAAUGGAUGAUUCCAAGUUUGAAGUCUAUUAUUAAUAUUUUUAAAUCCCUUCUCUUAAUAUCAUUGAUAGAACAAUGAUUUUUUAACCCUUUUUUUAUAUUGCAAGAAAAUUCAAGAUAGUCUAAUGUUCAGAUACAUAAGUUAGAUUGAAGAAUCAUAAAUGUGGUAAAAAUAUUAAAGGAUUUUAGUUAAAAAUUGAUAAAUAUAAAGGUCGUUGUAAAAAAAAAAAGUGUUUUUUUUAACAAAAAAAAUGAUAUAAAGGCAAAAUAAUCAAGAUUAUUAAUUCAAUUUAUUUUUACAAGUAUUCCAAAACCUAUAAUCGAAUUCAAUUAGGUGGUUUAUUAUUUUAUUCUAAAUAUAAAAUUUUAAUAGAUUAUCAAUUGAAUUCGAAUCAUAUAUAAAAUUAAAUUCAUUUCAACAUGUAAUUUGAUUUCAAAUAUACUACCACCUGCUACCAACUUAGCAUUUUUUCAUCUAAUAUUAUUUUUACCUAUUCACGCACUAACCUUUUUUUGUUAUAAAAUAUUAAGGUAAUUUUUGAUAUUAUGGUAAUUGUUUUUUAAAAUGUUUUUUUUUUAAAAAAUAUAUCAAAAUAAUAUAUAUAUAUAUAUUAUAUUUAUUCUUGACAUCAAUAUAUUAAAAUAAUUUUAAAAUAUCAAAAAAUUAUUAAAAAAAAACAUGGUAAAACUAUAUAUAUAUAAAACACAUCCUAACGACACAUCAACUUUUGACACAACCCAAUUUUUUACACAAACUCAAAAGCGCGUCCAGGUUAGAAUAAAAAAAAAGUGGAGGCGAAUUCGAAUUCCCGCUAGAGAUAAUUAACCCUCGAAACUGCUCCCUCUAUUCAAAAUUCCAAACCCCGCCUAUCACAAGUCUUAAGAAAACAGAAACCCCCUCUCCCUCCACCUCUCUCUUCCUUUCUAACGGUAAUUACCUCUCUUCCCUUCCUCAUUUUCUCCAUCUGUCCAUUCACUGCAUCAGAUCUGCACUCAUAAAAGAAAAGAAAGAAAAUGGCGUUGUCUUACAGUGAUAUUAUAGAUCCCUCUUCAAGGCAUCACACUUAUAGCAGGAAACAGAAAUCUCUCGGUCUCUUAUGCACCAAGUAAACAAACCCAUCUUUCUUUCUUUUUUUUUCUUUUUCUUCAAAAACUCAUAGCUUCCCCCGCAAUUGAAUUGAUUUUUUACUUAUUGUGCAGUUUCUUGACCCUGUAUAAUCGAGAUGACAUUGACGUGAUUGGACUUGAUGACGCUGCUUCAAAAUUAGGUAUUUAUUUAUUUCUGAUUUUUAUAUUUUACUAGUUAUCAUGAUUCAGGAAUAUCGAUCCGUAUUUUGAAUGGGUGGGAUUUUUAAUUUCUUUUAAUGGGUUUGUGAUUUGCAGGAGUUGAGAGAAGGCGGAUCUAUGAUAUAGUCAAUGUUUUGGAGAGUGUUGGGGUGAGACUCUUGAUUAUCAUGUUGCAAUUUUUUUUUAUGUUUUUUAGUGAGUUUUCUUAUAUGGGUUUUUGAUGUUCUUAAAGGUUCUUGCAAGAAAAGCAAAGAACAAGUAUUUAUGGAAGGGAUUUGCUGCAGUCCCUAAAGCUUUACAAGAAUUAAAGGUAGUAGAAAUAACCCAAAAAAUAAAAGAAAAUGAUUUUAUGUUACGUAUAUCUGAGCUUGAUAUGGGUUUUCUUCUGAAGUGUUGUUGUUUUUUGAAAUUGGGCUGAUUUUGUGUUGUUGUUGAUGUUUUAGGAAGAGGGUUUGAGAGAUAAUGUCAAUACAAUUGAUAAGCAAAGCAAUAAUUCUGUGAAAGUAAGCGGACUUUUAAGGGUUUAUUUAUUCUUUCUUCAUGAACUUCCUGUGUUUUGUUAAGGGCUUCUUUCAUUCUUUUUUUCUAGUCGGGAACUUUUUUGUUAAUCUCCAUUUUUCGUGUGUUGAAUUUUUUAGGUUGCAGAUGAUGAUGAGGAUGAAGAUGAUGACUCUGAUUCCAAUCCUAACACUGGAAGCCAGAAUGAGAAUUCUGGUAUUAUCAAAUCUACAGCGGCGUCAAGAUUUGGUAAUGUCCUCUCCUUUUCCAUGAGCAUCUGUAUUUAUGUUUUCUUCUCUCUCGUAUGUUAUUACAUCACUUGUACAAGUAAGUUUUUUUUCCACAGAAUCUGCAUAUGAUUUAAAAAAGCAAUCUCUUAACAAACUUUCAAAGGCCUUUGUAGUUAUUUGUUCUUGUGACGUGUCAAACUGGAACUAGUCCUAUGUUUUGUUCAAAAUUUUGGUUGCACAUAUAAUUACCCAUCUACUUUUCUUAACAUCUUAUAACCAAGCUCAAUUAUUUUUGUUACAGAUCAUAGGAGGGAAAAGUCGCUGGGUCUUCUGACUCAGAAUUUUGUCAAGCUCUUUGUGUGCUUCAACGUGAGUGAAAUCUUAAAUGAGUUUAGUUCUUACAGCCUAGAGUGUGAUAAUUUCUUUGUGUUUUUUGUUUGAAAAUACAUUAAAAUAAUAUAUUAUUUUUUUAUUUUUUAAAAUUCAUUUUUGAUAUGAGUAUGUCAAAAUAAUUUAAAAUAAAAAAAUUUUUAAAUUUUUUUUAAAGCAUGAUUAAACUACAAUGUCAGAUGAGGUCAUAAUAAAUUUUCUAGCCAUUAUGUAUUACAUAGUGCUUAUGAGUGUUUUGUUAUCAGGCAAAUUUGAUCUCGCUAGAUGAAUCUGCCAAGUUAUUACUCGGGGAUGGCCAUAAAUCCUCAAUUAUGAGAAGUAAUUUUUCUCAACUCCUCAACUUUUGAUACGAGCAAUUAGUGGUCUAGCUCUUUGGUUUACAUUCUGUGAAUAAUAUAAUUGUGCAGCAAAAGUAAGGAGGCUAUAUGACAUCGCAAAUGUGCUUUCUUCUCUAAAACUUAUUGAAAAGGUAACCAAUCAUGACAAAUGCUUAUUGAAAACUUAAAGGAAUCAUGUUAGCCUUUGUUACUCGAGCACAAAUACAAUUCUUUAAAGUACUGAUAUUUAUUAAAUGAUGUGCAGACACAUACUGCUGACACAAGGAAACCUGCAUUCAGGUGGUUAGGUUUGAGAGGAAAAUCGGAGAAUGGAUCAGGUGAUCCUUUGGCUCCUUUUGAGUCUAGGAAGAGGACAUUUGGAGCUGAUGUCACAAACAUAUGUUCUAAAAGAAACCAAACGGAUUCUUCAGUUGAUGGGGAUAAAAGCAAGAAUCUGAAGAUGCAGAAGCAAAUAAAAGAUGAGAAUAUUGUAACUGUCGUUCAGAGAGGCAAUUUCGACCAGGAUUCACAGCAGAACUCAGGAAGUUUCCAGUUUGGCCCUUUUGCUCCUGUUAGCAUAGCCAGAGUUGGCAACUCUGAAGAGAAAGUAACUCAGAUCUAUGAUUGGGAGGGUCUUUCCUCUACUUUCCGUCCUCAAUACCACAACCAAGGUACAACCUAAUGCUUUCAUAAAAAAUUCAGUGAAACGGUUUGACCAUAUCAGACUUCAAGAUCCAAUUAUUUGACGAUUAGGUUCAGAAAUACAUCUUCAGCUUGAUACAGAAAACACCUGGCCUACAUAGUCUGUUUGCCUUUCAUUUCAUGUUUCCUUGUGAUAUCAUGCAAUGAGUUGGACAACUGAUCAGUCCAUUGUUGAGUUGUCUGAAAGCAUGAAAAUUGUCAAUAGGCUCUUGUUUGAAGGUCUGCUAGUAAAGCUAUGCGUUUAAGAAAAGCAAAUAUGGUUUGCUUAGGUCAUAUCACUUUGUUCGUCCAGUGAAGUUAGUUAUUCGUGAAAAUCAAAGUUUGUAAAUAAAUAGAUUAGAUUAGUGAGCAAAUAAAUUUAAUUUAUUAUUAUAAAAACAUGUUAAAUAAAAACUGUCAAAUGAAAUUCUAUAGUUUAUAUAUUUUUAAAAUUAUAAGCAUAUAAAAUUAUAAUUAAUGACAAACAUAAUUUUAAUAUAAACAAAUAAAUAAUAGAAUUAGUAUGCAUACUAAGUAUAUAUUCAAAUAUAUAAUUAAUAUAAAAUAAUUUUUUUUAGCAUGUAUACAAAUAAAAUUAACUAUAAUUAAAUUAAAACAAGAAUGAUAUUUAGUUGAAGUAUUUUAAAGUAAUGAAUUUUUUAUUAUUAUUAAUGAUGAAUCAUUUGUUCUUAAUAUUUUAUUACUUCUCACUUGUGUCUCCUAAGUUUCCAACAAUACUGUUUUGAUUUAAAUACAUUUUUAAACAAGAUUUUUGAACCAAAAAAUUAUGUAAAAUCAAAUAUUUCUCAACAUGAUAAAUCUAAGUUCUAGAUUUGAAAGGAAAAUCAAAAUAUAAAAAAAAGAAAACAAAAAAAAUAAGGUAAGGAAAAGUGUGUAAAACCUAAAAAAUUCAAGUUGGAAACUUUUUUUCUAGAAGUGAAUUUUAAAAAUUAAAAGGUUAAAGAAUUAAUAAGAAUUAUUUUUUACUAUUAUUAAUUUUUGAUUAAUCAUUAUAAAUUAAGAAUUAUAUUUUUUUAAAAAUAAGAGUUUUGGUAUGAAAACAAUUUUUUUUUUUUUAUAUUUAAUUAUAAUUUAUUGCCUUGAGGCCUCCAUCGAGCGAUCCUUUCGUCUUUCCAGCUUUCCCAUUUACUUGGCCUAUCCACUUUUUUCACGUAGUUUUGCUCUGGCCUUUUCAGCACUUGUCUAGCUUGUGAGUUAGGUUUCGCGUGCUUGAUGAUUUGGGGUUGUGCUUCCUCUGAGAUGUCAUUGUGUUGAUUGCUGGUCAGUUAAUAGUUUAUUUUAAUAUGCCUUGCCAUCCAUUUGUCUUGUUGAACCUUUGGAACAAAAAGUGUGGAAAAUAUGAAAAGCUCAUAUGGUGAUAAUUUUUGCAGCUUUGAGAGAUCUCUUUUUUCACUACACGGAAGCAUGGAAAUCAUGGUACACGGAAGUUGCUGGGAAGAAACCAUUACACAUCUCCUAGUUUUUUAUUACUGUGUCUCUGCUACCAGUACAGUAUAAGACACUCGAUUCUCUCUUUUCCUCCUCUCUUUUGUUCUUUUUUUUUUUUGUACUUUUUAGGAUAGAAAAAUGGCUUCUGGUCGGAUGCAUAUUCCCCGUGCACCAUCUUAGCGCGGCCAAACAAUGUUGUUUAUCUGAUGUUUCGAAGCAAAUGAAUUUGAAUAUACCGUCUUUUCUCCUUAGGUUAACUAGCUACAAAGUUGCUUCGGUUAUGCAAGGUAUCAUUUUGUUUUCAUGGGACAACAGCUGCAUUGCAAUAGACAAUACACUCAGACCUUUUCCUAUCUAUAACAUUUUCUUGGUCUUCUUGCUGUUUUGAUGCUCUUAUGAUGCUGGGAAUUAUAAAAGAUGAAAUUAGAGAUGAAUGUUCUGCAAAUGCACUGACACCACGUCGUGAGAAAAACGAGAUUAAGGUUUGGGUAACUUUGUUUUGGUGUUAAUGACGAGGGGCGAAUGCUUCUAAACCCUACGGUAGUGAGAUUUACGAACACCCAAAUGUCCUCUGUGUCUUCUUUGAAAGUGAGUACAACUUCGGACAACAAUGGAGAAUGGAAUAUCGUUAUUGCUCUAUGAUUCAAGUGAAGGAAAUCUGCAACAGAUAGAUGAGAAGCAUUUUCUCGUAUGUUCCCCAUCGGGCUUGCAGUAGCAUCGACUGCCAUGUCCGGAUUUCAUGUUUUACUGCUCGUGUACAAUGUUUAUCGAUCGCCAAAGGAGUACAAAUCAUCUUUUUAUCGGCACAUGAAGACAGCUCUUGCCUUGAUGAAAUAAAAAUGUACUAUAAUUUAUCCAUGUUUAUCGGCACAUGAAGACAGCUCUUGUCAAACUCGAAAUCAAAAUUUUUAUUAUUAUAAAUUGCAAAUGUCAAUUUACAUAUCGAUAAAUGUUUUAAAAAAAGGUGUCCCAGUAUAAGAAAGAGAGAUGGCAGAAAUCGGAGCUUUCAAGGUCUACUAUAAAAUAAUUUCGUCCUGAACACUAACAUCGAGUGUCUUGUAUGGGAGGACAAUGCUGUUAAUCACCACUACUUCAUCCUCAACAGUAACACCUUCGCCUGUAUCAAGGAAAAGAACACUGAGAUCGUGCAGAGAAAUAACUUGUCCAUAAAAAAAAGGAAAUAGACUAGUAAAGGGAAAUAAAUAGGGUUAAUGCAUAAAAAAUGUACCAAGGAUUGUAACCCCAAGCUUGGCAUUGUAAUCACCUUCAGCCUGUAACCAUUUCAUUGAACAUAAUAAGUCCUACCAUGCAUUAGAGGGAAGUCCGCAGAUAAAGGAAAUAUAUACCAUAGUGGUAAUAAGAAGAAUAAAAAGAUGCAUCAUAUCAGACACCACUUUGGAGAAGAAACAGAGGAGAGUUUCGGAUUAUCAAUGGAAGAAGGGGGAAAAAAUAACACGACAAUGAUAACAUUAAACAUGCAGAUACUAGAAUCGUAUCGCUGAUAUUGAGAAACAUUCCGCAAUACAAAUAUAAUGUCUGCCUUUGUUAUAUUGUCGGGAUACUGAUUGAAGUGAAUAACAUUUGGCAAGUAGCAAACAAGAGCGGCAAUCAUCCAACUAAAAUAUAACAGGAUAGUCUACUUGCCUGGACACGGGACCAUCUCCCAAUGGAAGAGUUCCACCCAACAAUUGAAUAAAUGACAACUGCAUUUUCCUGAGAGAUAAAACGAAGCAUACAAUCAAGUUUGAGACAUCUUAAGGGGCCCCUCCACAACCUCACCCUAAAAAGAUAUAAAGAUAGCAAAGUUAUUCAUGAUAAAUCUCUUAAUUCAGUUCCCUACCAUGACUUCAACGUUAUCUAGGAUGAUACACCUUAUGAGCCUUGCACCUGGUCCUAUACGAGCAUUGGCAGAUAUAGAGACAUUGGGACCAAUCUGUUUCAUCACAUUCCACAAAAAAGUCAAUUUCAUAAAUGAAUUAUAUGCAGGGAAAGAAGCAGUACAUAAAACAGGAAGGAGAAGUGCUACAGAAACAAAGAAAUCAUAACAACUGAUGUGGAGGUUGCAUUUUCAUGCUUGAUCAUUAUUUUAUUAUUUGUGAGACCCACAGUUUUACGACUUAUUGUUUGACACAAAUUUUUAUGGAAUCUUAAUAUGAUUUUUUGUUUGUAAAUCAUUUUCCGAUCCGAAAGGAAAAGAGUAAGCAACCAACAUUCCUUUUGCAUCAUAAUAGAUGGAUAAAGAAACUAUUAACAUUUUUAAAGGUGCCCUAGAGACCAAUGCACCUAAUUCCCAUCACCUAACCACCAUAGAGGGAUUUGACAAAAAGAAUACUGAUAAGAAUUCAAGCGGAUAAAAAACAGUACUGACUAAACCAUGAACAAAAAAAGAAAAAGAAGCCCUGACUAUCAUUGUACUAAAAGGAUUGCAUUGGCUAACAGUUCUAUUGUGUACGAAUAAUACCAGUAAGCAUUCAACCGGAUAAAAAAACAGUACUUGCUAAACUAUGAAGACGAAAUAAAAAGGGGCCCCAACUAAAACAUACUAAAAGGAUUGCAUUGGCCAUCAGUUCUAUUUUGUACCCAUAGAUCUGUUAUCAUAAACAAGAUGAAAAGAUUACCUUAGCAGUUGGAUGUACUUUUGCUGAUGGAUGUAUAUAAACAUCACCUUCAAUAGUAGCACUCUUUGAGCCAUCACCACCAGCCAAAAGAUGGGGUGAGGUGAAUUGGAAUUGGGCAAGAUAUAAACCAGAACACUUUAGAGACAUUCUGCAGUAUAAAUUUAGUGAAAAUGACAUAAGGUAACUGGUUAGAGAUGGCAAAGAAGAUCUAACAUAAGAUGUACAGAUUGACUUACCCAGGUGUUUUAAUUUGUUCCCAGAAGUCCAUGGUUUCAUACGUAUAUAGCUGCUUUUUUCCAGCGAGGGGUGACAGGAUAUCCUGAUCCAAUCUUACAUAAUCUGUUGGAAGACUCCUGUUAAGGGAACUUGGAUCAAAGCAGGAGCUUGUGGAAAAUAUUGGGUUCUAUCGAAUCAAUAAGUGAGCAAUAAAAAUGAUAUUAAUGCAUGUUGAGAAAGGAAAGAAAAUACUAAAACAGGACUUGGCUAAAACUAUCAAGGAUGUCUCUCCCAGAAUAGUAAUAUUAGAGAGAGGACAUAUACUGCAACUUAAACGAUAAAGUUCAUAUUACUGCAGGGAAUCUGUAUUCCAAUUGAGUUGUACAAAUUGAAUUUUCUUGUUACACAGAAGACCUGUUGACUACUUGACUCUUCAUACAAGUUCAAGAUGUGGUUGGCAAAUCCCAUGCCAGUAAACAAUCAAUUGUGACAAGAGAACAUUUCGAACACUAACUCUCCAAGUCACUCAUUUACAUAGAUAAGCAAACAAACAUAUGAUUAUUGUCAUGAAUAAGUCUAAAUUUUAGUCAAUUCAACGACUAAAGAGGCCCAAGAAAGAAAGAAAUAAAAUAGAUCCACUCUUAGUCACAAGAACUGUAAUUGAUGGUCUUCAAACCCAUGAGUUACUGCAGAUGCACAUGGAUUGUUCAAACAAUCCAUGAGAUGCUUAUGCAUCUUAUGGAUUGUUUGAAGAAAUCCAGUUAAGAGGCCAAAUGUAUUUUCAAAACUAAUUGGCAACUUUAAUGAGUUUAAAAAAAGUGGUAUAUUAAAAGAUUGGCGAAACAUUUGUUCAACUCCCUUUCAAUAAAUUUAUCAUAAUAGUUUAAAGUGAAAUUAUACUAGCAAUGCUCAGCCUAGAGUCAUUAAUUCCAAGAUUAAGGGAUGAAAAAGUACGUAAAGUAUGAACCACAUACCUUGUAGAAAAUUGGAGGGCUUCGAAGCUAGAAACACGUCUCAGAUUAGCUGAAAAUGGUAAAACAGAGUUCAGAAUUUUCCAAAAUCAAGACUCAAACUAUCGAUAAUUACAGAGAAUGCUAUCACAAUCUAAAAAAACAAGCCAGGAUAUGCCAAGCUUUAGGAUCAGAAUAUUUUUAGUUGAUGCAGAUUUUCACUAUGCACCCUUGUUAAAAGCCGAUACAGGCUAAACUAGUUUAUUAAAGAAAAGAACCACAGAAUUCUGGAACUUCUAAAUUAAUCUUACAAAGGCACCCUACAGGCAAAACACCAUAUCACAUACCUCUGUCUUUCCGUUGAGAAGAAACACCCUGGAUGGCUGUGAAUAUUUCUGGUGUAAAAACAUAAACACCACAAUUUAUCCGGUCACUUACCUACAUCAAAACAUAAUAUCAAACGAAUGAAGAGGGGGGAAAAGCAUAAUUGAGGGGAAUGGCAGUAAACAGUAACAGAAAUCACCAUUGGAUUCACUGCAAUUUGAAGCCUAUUGUACUUCAAUAAAUGAAAAUAAAAUAAAAUUGAUGUUUGGUUAUGUACUAAAAUUAAGUAUAAAAAAAGAUGAGAUUUUGCUAUCAAGCCUAAGCAAAAACUUCUUACCUUUAAAUGCAGAAGUAAGCUUUUCAAAAUUCAAUGACCAUACCUUCAGAUUAUAUGUAUUGGUUUUACUUAAAAAAAAACAAAAACAAAAAAGGGAUAACAACCAAGAAAGAUAGUUAAAAAAAAGCUUAAAAAGUUGAAUAAGAUCCUUCUUUGAUCAAUCAUUCAAGCAAAUAAUGAAAGUACUGAAAUUCCCUAAAUAAAAUGUGUUUCUGGACUGGUACUUACAAAAGUUUCAGGCUUCUCUGUGUAAUGCAACAACUCAUUGGUGUCAGGAUCAGCUACCAAUUCCCCAAACUGGCUGGCUGACUCAGCUGAGACCUGCAUGCAGAAAACAAUCAUGGAGACAAACAGAGUACAUCCUAUUGCUGGAGUACCAAACUCUGAACAAUUUUCCUAGGUUAUUAUCUUUUGCAUUCAACUAACCUUGAUUACUAGGAUAGUUCCCAUCCCACCAUAUGCUCUGUGGGCCUCUGCAAGCAUUGCAGGGGAAAUACAGUAAUUAAUGCUUCUGCUACAUAAAUAUAAACUACAAACUGUCUACACAAAAAGAAACCUUAGCUAAAAUAUAAUAAUGUACAUAAGACCAUUUUAUUUAUCUCGAUAUAAUCAUGGAAAUAUCUAAAAUUAAUGGUUCCAUGAGGAUGCAUAUGAUACCCUGAAGAGGAAUUUGCGAACAAGUUCAAAAAAAUUCAUGAAGUUCAAAACAAUCCAAUUUGGCAAAGUAGAUUACCAAGCAUUUCUGGGAGUGGAAAACUGCAGCAAACAUCACAAUUCAGCAGAAAGAUAUGGGACUGCGGCAAGAUAACCAAGCAUCAGUACUGAAUUUUUGGAGUACAAAUCAUCCAUCUAUAUCUGCAGAAAAUGCUAGCAACUACCGCAUGUUCACAUAAGAACAUGCAAAGAAAAUACUGUAAAAUAGGUGACAGGCGUGCAUGCUAAUAGAAAAGUUUAAGCUGAGAUGAAAACCGGGUUGUCUUCCAUGAUUAGAUCUCUGAAGUUAAAAAGCCCGCCAGCAGAACCAUGUGGCUUAUCUUCCCGCAAAUAUCUACAAGCACAGAUUGAUAAUUACAAAAAAAAAAAAAACUCAACUACGGAAUCAGAAGCAAAUAAUCAAGAAAGGCCAUCAAGUCACUUUACCUAAAAGACACUUUCAGCUCAUUCGAGAUUGAGGAAACAUACAAAGCAAACUCUCUUUCCUCGUAGAAACCAACAAGAUAGAUCUGUGUCAAGUUUGGAAUCUGA
rnacentral:lncRNA from 1 species